rnacentral:rRNA from 1 species
ACGCUCGACACCUACGGGAGGCAGCAGGUGGGGAAUAUUGCACAAUGGGGGAAACCCUGAUGCAGCGACGCCGCGUGAGCGAAGAAGUAUUUCGGUAUGUAAAGCUCUAUCAGCAGGGAAGAAACUGACGGUACCUGACUAAGAAGCACCGGCUAAAUACGUGCUAGCAGCCGCGGUAAUCUGAGCGGGCUGGCAAGGC